UUAAAUAUUAGUGUGCCAGAUUGAUAAGAUAUGCUGCUAUUUAGAAACCUCUCUUGAAUGUUCAUUGCAAGAUAUAUUAGUAGUAGUACAUAAUUAUUGGUAUAAAAUCAUGUGUUCAUAUGUGUCAGAUCUAGAUGAAGAAGUAACAAACAAACACUAGUUUUGUCGUCUAUGUAGAGAAGCUACAAUGAUUUUGUCACCUGCCGACAUCAUCCUCAAUGUUUACAACGUGUAUUAUUCAGCAUUAGAUCUUCCAUUUGAGCAGAAAACAUGGGUAGGUGGAAUAGUAUAAAAAUGAAAAGGCA
rnacentral:lncRNA from 1 species